ACCUGGACCUCGCGUAUUAUCCCCGUCCCCGACUCCAAGUCUUCGUCUCCAAACCCUAUCGAGCUCUGCAGCAAGCGACUGGCGGCGAGCGACCGGAGGCGAGCGGAGCCGCUGCGGGAGAGGCAGAGCAUCUUGCCGGCGAGAGGGGCGGAGCAUCUUAGCGGCGGGAGAGGAUGGAUCCCGCCUAGCCGCUCCCACAUCAGGUCGCCGCCGUUCUUGCAGUCUGACCGGCGCCGCCACUACUGCCGUUUCGAUCUCCGGGAGCAGGUCAGCAAGCGUGGGUUUGGAGUCGGCGCCACCGUCUGGAGCAAGGGUUGGGCUUGAGCUGGGCGACGGGAGCACGCACCUGGUUCGAGACAGGUUCCAUUUUCAAAAGCCCCCGCAGCCACCGCUACCGUCUAGUGUGGCACAUAUCGCCGCAGUUUCUACCGCUGAUGGCACCUGAGAUGUUUGCUCGCUUCUGAUGUUGUGUUGGUCUAAAGACUGGGUUUGUUGUUGAUUGGUGCAACUUGUUACAACAUUUUGUAGUGUCAUGGUUUGUCAGAAUUUGGAAUAUUGCCAUGAUCUAUUGUGGGUCAUGAGAAUUGUGACAACAACUUGUUACAACAUUCUGUAUCCUGGGUUCCGAACUAUCUAUUCUGUAGUCAUUGCCGUGUUGGACCUGGUAUUAGUUCAGAUUUCAAUGUCAGUGCCGUGUGGCCAAUGGUAUAAGAAUUAAAUAUUUGCUACUGCACGUUGAUUUCC